GGACGGGUGAGUAACGCGUGAGAAUCUGCCUUCAGGUCGGGGACAACCACUGGAAACGGUGGCUAAUACCGGAUAUACCUAACAGUGAAAGAUUAAUUGCCUGAAGAGGAGCUCGCGUCUGAUUAGCUAGUUGGUGGGGUAAAAGCCUACCAAGGCGACGAUCAGUAGCUGGUCUGAGAGGACGAUCAGCCACACUGGAACUGAGACACGGUCCAGACUCCUACGGGAGGCAGCAGUGGGGAAUUUUCCGCAAUGGGCGAAAGCCUGACGGAGCAAUACCGCGUGAGGGAGGAAGGCUCUUGGGUUGUAAACCUCUUUUCUCAGGGAAGAAGUUCUGACGGUACCUGAGGAAUCAGCAUCGGCUAACUCCGUGCCAGCAGCCGCGGUAAUACGGAGGAUGCAAGCGUUAUCCGGAAUGAUUGGGCGUAAAGCGUCCGCAGGUGGCAUUGAAAGUCUGCUGUCAAAGAGUCUGGCUCAACCAGAUAAAGGCAGUGGAAACUACAAAGCUAGAGUACGUUCGGGGCAGAGGGAAUUCCUGGUGUAGCGGUGAAAUGCGUAGAGAUCAGGAAGAACACCGGUGGCGAAAGCGCUUUGCUAGGCCGUAACUGACACUGAGGGACGAAAGCUAGGGGAGCGAAUGGGAUUAGAUACCCCAGUAGUCCUAGCCGUAAACGAUGGAUACUAGGUGUUGCUUGUAUCGACCCGAGCAGUACCGUAGCUAACGCGUUAAGUAUCCCGCCUGGGGAGUACGCAGGCAACUGUGAAACUCAAAGGAAUUGACGGGGGCCCGCACAAGCGGUGGAGUAUGUGGUUUAAUUCGAUGCAACGCGAAGAACCUUACCAGGGCUUGACAUGUCGCGAAUCAGGGGGAAACUUCUGAGUGCCUUCGGGAGCGCGAACACAGGUGGUGCAUGGCUGUCGUCAGCUCGUGUCGUGAGAUGUUGGGUUAAGUCCCGCAACGAGCGCAACCCUCGUUUUUAGUUGCCAUCAUUAAGUUGGGCACUCUAGAGAGACUGCCAGUGACAAACCGGAGGAAGGUGGGGAUGACGUCAAGUCAGCAUGCCCCUUACGUCCUGGGCUACACACGUACUACAAUGCGCCGAACAGAGGGCAGCUAACCAGCGAUGGCAAGCUAAUCCCGGAAAUCGGCGCUCAGUUCAGAUCGCAGGCUGCAACUCGCCUGCGUGAAGUUGGAAUCGCUAGUAAUUGCAGGUCAGCAUACUGCAGUGAAUUCGUUCCCGGGCCUUGUACACACCGCCCGUCACACCAUGGAAGCUGGUAGUGCCCGAAGUCAUUACCCCAACUGUUCGCAGAGGGGGAUGCCUAAGGCAGGACUGGUGACUGGGGUGAAGUCGUAACAAGGUAGC
rnacentral:rRNA from 1 species